CCCUUUUUAAAUUAUUCCUGAAAGUUUAUAUUAAAUUUUAUACUCAAGUCAGUCAAGUAAGUAAUAAUUUUAGGACCAGAAUGAUCUGGAGCAAGAUAAGAGAAUGAUAUAAAGCUGGAAUAUAAAGAUUUAGUUAAGGACCAGAAUGUUCUGGAGAGUAAGAGUAAUAAAACAAUAUAUUGAGCUGAAUUUAAACUUUAGUUAAAUAUUAUAUAGUUGUUUUAUCUUGGACCAGAAUGUUCUGGAAGCAGUGUAAUUAAUUAAUUAUAUGGACCAGAGAACUCUGGAUUAAUAUGAUUGAGAUUUAAACAGGACCAGAUUGUUCUGGAAGAAAUUAGUAAAGUAAUACUUUAAUUAUAAGGACCAGAGCACUCUGGAUUGAUAUAGUAGAGGUUUAAAUAGGACCAGAAUGUUUUGGAGAUAAGUAAAUAAAGAGUGUGUGAUUGUGUGUGAAUAUUGUGUCACCCAAUCCGGCUACUUCCAGUCUCCACACUUCGUGUGAGAUUAUCCACUAUAGAUUUCAGUUGAUAGAAACUUCUAACCAACACUAUAAGGUCUUGAUCACACCAGAUCAGUCCAGAACACCUAUUCUCAAACUAUUAAGCCCAAUAGACUUGAGAACUAGAUUACACUCUUGUAUGAUGAUGAGUUUUGGUCGUGAUGUCUCAAAACAAAAGAGACUUUUACAAAGGCAAACUCAAAAAGAUAUUCUCAAAUAAAAGAGAUAAAGAUGGUAAAUAUAGUGAAAGAUUAUGGAGUUUGCUUUGCUUGUUGUAGAAAGAUUGUUGAAGAGAUUGAUAGCUUGUUUGCUUUGUGAAAGAUAAAUGUUUUUG
rnacentral:lncRNA from 1 species